AGCUUUGUGCAGUGGUAGUAUCAUAGCCAAUGAAGUCUACCCGAGAUGCGAUUAUGGCUAAUUGAAAUCUUUUCCCAGUACCCCGCCGUGAAGAUUUGAAAUAUAGUUGACACUGGCAAUUUUU
rnacentral:snRNA from 1 species